UACGUAGGGUGCAAGCGUUAAUCGGAAUUACUGGGCGUAAAGCGUGCGCAGGCGGUUUUGUAAGACAGAGGUGAAAUCCCCGGGCUCAACCUGGGACCUGCAUUUGUGACUGCAUCGCUAGAGUACGGCAGAGGGGGAUGGAAUUCCGCGUGUAGCAGUGAAAUGCGUAGAUAUGCGGAGGAACACCGAUGGCGAAGGCAAUCCCCUGGGCCUGUACUGACGCUCAUGCACGAAAGCGUGGGGAGCAAACAGG
rnacentral:rRNA from 1 species